UACGUAGGGUGCAAGCGUUGUCCGGAAUUAUUGGGCGUAAAGAGUUCGUAGGCGGUUUGUCGCGUCCGUUGUGAAAGCUUGGGGCUCAACCCCAAGUCUGCAGUGGAUACGGGCAGACUAGAGUCAGGUAGGGGAGAACGGAAUUCCUGGUGUAGCGGUGAAAUGCGCAGAUAUCAGGAAGAACACCCGUGGCGAAAGCGGCUCUCUGGAACGGUACUGACGCUGAGACGCGAAAGCGUGGGGAGCGAACAGG
rnacentral:rRNA from 1 species